GACAGAGGUCCCGAGCGUUAGGCGGAAUCACUGGGCUUAAAGCGUGUGUAGGCGGAUUGGUAAGUACCUUGUGAAAUCCCACGGCUUAACCGUGGAACUGCUUGGUAUACUGCUUAUCUUGGGCCACUUAGGGGUUACCGGAACAAACGGUGGAGCGGUGAAAUGCGUAGAUAUCGUUUGGAACGCCAAUGGUGAAAACAGGUAACUGGGAGUGUGCCGACGCUGAGACGCGAAAGCCAGGGGAGCGAACGGG
rnacentral:rRNA from 1 species